UACAGAGGGUGCGAGCGUUAAUCGGAGUUACUGGGCGUAAAGGGCGCGUAGGCGGUUAUAUAAGUGAGAUGUGAAAACCCUGGGCUUAACCUGGGACGUGCAUCUUAUACUGUGUAGCUAGAGUACUGUAGAGGGUAGUGGAAUUUCCGGUGUAGCGGUGAAAUGCGUAGAGAUCGGAAGGAACACCAGUGGCGAAGGCGGCUACCUGGACAGAUACUGACGCUGAGGCGCGAGAGCGUGGGGAGCAAACAGG
rnacentral:rRNA from 1 species